GUAUGCGCGUGUGUGUUACCGGGCACUCCCGUCUCUGGUGGCAGAGCCGCUUGGGAGCCUUGGCUGGGACAGGGUCUAGAAGGGGUAGGACGCUCGGUCCUGUGUAUGCACAGAACCGUUCCUUAUAUCCAGGGUCUCUAAUAAAAUCUCAGGAAGGUGUUUUAAGGUCAGAUUGUAUAGGGGAGAGGCUGUCCCUGAGCUGCUAUUGGGAGGAGGAUGGAACUGGAAGAGGAAAUGCAUAAGCUCUCGGUGAUUUCCAAGGAGACACAGGACUAAUUUGUUCAACUGUGAUCACAGGAGAAGGUUAAAGGAGAUCCCCAGUUUCAUCCCUUCUUUUUCAGAUACAACUUUUGGCACUUGCCAAUGCUCAUAAGCCUAACAAGAGAAGAAAGCAUAAGAGAUAAUGUGGCAAGUCUGCAUGCAGGAGGGAUCUCAGAGAAUUGAGGAGAUUAUUCAGGGGGUUCCUGUUGCCUUUUCCUGAAAUCCACAAAGAACCACUAAGGAACCUGGAGGAAUGCCUAGAGCAGAAGGUUGGAAGGAAAGGGAUCCUAACAUGAUACCCCAAGCUGUGACUGAGGCCCAGGAACCCAAAGCCACUAGGGGACCAUUUAGCACAAUGCCCAGUGAUGCAUUACUGCACACCCACAGGAUGAAUGGCAUCUUGCUUGAUGGUCCUCAGAAACCACAGAGGAAAAUGGUCAAUAAAACAUUAAGUAAAAGAAGGAUAUACUCCCCAAGACCUCUUUGACUUUGGACUUUAAAGGGCCAGUCUUUCGACUGUCUCUCUUGGCAAGGAAUGCAUAUCCUGUGUGGCAUCUGGAAGACACGUUCAACCUUCAGAAAUGUAAUGGGGCCUGAGGCCCUUGGCACACAUCUAGAACCAGCACCAGAACCUCCUGGCCUAGUUGAUAAGUGUGGGGAAAGCAGUAAAGCUUGUGUGGACUGAUUGUGAGGGGCUCUGCUGGAAUUUGGCAGCGCGAAGGCUUGGAGAGCAGCCCCAUGCUGGCUCCUAUUCACCGGGCCAGUAUUCCUCGAGCUUUGGAAGUUUCACUCAGCCGUGCACUCAAUGGCUUCACAAAGCUGAUUACAAGCUUCAGCGCAUUCCUGAAGGAGCCAAAAGCGACGCAGGUGCAAACGAGCCGAGGGAGCCCCUUAUCCCGGUGACAGAAUGGGACAAGCUGGGAAAGGCUUGGACCACACAAAUCCAAGGCUCACCAGGCAGCAGAAAGCCUGUCUUGGGAACCGGGGGUCAUUAUCCGCUCUAUUCAGCGGGGACCCAGCGGCGGCGGCGGCGGCGGCGGUGGCUGCUGCUGCAGGGGCUGUGGCGGUAGCGGCGGCACACAGAUCACUGGGGACAGCUCCAGGGUGCUGGGGAGGCCCUGCCUGAGAGAACACAGGCUUCCAACGGCGGAGAAGAGCCCUCGGCCCUGCUGCAGGACUGGGAGCUUUGAGGAUCUUCGAGUUUGCCCUAUUCUACUAAAAUCUUCAGAUUAAAUAUACGUACAUGGAAAAGCGGUCGCAAUAGUACUACAAACGUUAGGACUAGGAUAGACAAGGCUAACGGCCUUUCUUCCAACCAGUUCCUCCCAAAAUACAGAAAGGGCAAACCGAAAUUCUUUCCCUCUCUGAGCCCCUCUGAGCUGAAUUCUUAUGCCCCCUUCCCCACUCUUGGAGCCCCCACUCUCCGCCUCCAGGCCACUUCAAGCAUCUAUCACGGGAGUAUUUCAAGAAUCCCAAAUGUUUGCCCCUAGAGAGACCCCAGUUCUCCCAUCUCCCACCUACUUCCCCCCGCCCCCCCCCCAAUUGUAGAGCGUUUGAAAGUGGGUGCUACCAAGGGGGGAACUUAAGGUCCUGGUUCCUUUAUACGAGAUGGAAAAAGACGAGUUUACUCCCAAGAGUAAUCCAGAGACUAUUUUCAUGCCUAAAUCUAGGGGCACUAAGAGCCCGCCCUGGGUGCAUUUCCGUCUUAACGGUCCAGGAGCAGGAGCCCCACGUUAGUUUGUGUGCCGAAACAUUUCACUGAGGCAAGUUUCCUGCUUGCCUGAUCUUUAUUCCUGAGCUGUCCUGUUCUAGUGGGAGAGAAGAGCCGCGGGUCACCUCGCUCUGUAAUUAAUUACGGCCCUUAGCCGCUACCAAUGACUGAGGAAUCUGCGUUUCCUGGGGGUGGGGAGAGCGGGCGGGGGAAGAGAUAGGAAUAGAGACAGAAACAGAGGGGGAGAGAGAA